GCGCCUUAAAGGAGACAGCAGCACAGGUUGCUGUGCUGCUGUCACGGUCGAACUUUAUGGAGUACAGUGCCACAAUGAGGUGGCAGAGGCUUGCAGCACUCUUUUUGACACUGCUAUCAAAAUAUCUCUCAUUGAGUCCUGUGAUGUCACACCAGUCGAUUAAUGCUACUGAAUCGUGAUAUGGCACCUCCCGCCACCAACUGUUUGGUAGAGAUGAUUUCACAGCCAUUUCCAGGACAGCUAACUGCUUUGCAGAAAAUAGCUUCCAGUGAGCAAGGAAAAUUGAAUGAGCAGAAAUGUUCGCAAAAAUAGUUGGCCUUACAAUGCAUACACAUGUAACUCAUCACACAGAAGCAGUUUACACACAAGCCCUAUUCAUACAUUAAUUUCAAUUCAUAUAUGAUCUGUGUACGGUGUCCUCAUGAGCAGAUCUGUACACACACACACACACACAGUUUUUCACACAUUAUGUUCAAUCCACAUAAAAUAAAACUGUUCCUAAUUGAACUCUGCAUAUGAGGGGGCCUAGAUGCUUUUAAAAUGAAUCAUUAA